rnacentral:rRNA from 1 species
CCUACGGGAGGCAGCAGUGAGGAAUAUUGGUCAAUGGCCGAGAGGCUGAACCAGCCAAGCCGCGUGAGGGAAGACGGUCCUACGGGUUGUAAACCUCUUUUGUCGGGGAGCAAAGAGAGUCACGUGUGACUCAUUGAGAGUACCCGAAGAAAAAGCAUCGGCUAACUCCGUGCCAGCAGCCGCGGUAAUACGGAGGAUGCGAGCGUUAUCCGGAUUUAUUGGGUUUAAAGGGUGCGCAGGCGGAUUAUUAAGUCAGCGGUAAAAUCGUGGGGCUCAACCCCAUCGAGCCGUUGACACUGGGGAUCUAGAGUGUGCGAGAGGUAUGCGGAAUGCGGGGUGUAGCGGUGAAAUGCAUAGAUAUCACGCAGAACCCCGAUUGCGAAGGCAGCAUACCGGUGCACAACUGACGCUCAGGCACGAAAGCGUGGGUAUCGAACAGGAUUAGAUACCCGAGUAGUC